UUGCAUCGUGUAUUUUCACGAAGAGGCCACAAGUUUUCUCGAAAAGUUACAGAAUUCGUUUAGUGUUUGGUUUAUGUAUAAGGUAAAGUGAUGCCGGCGGUAAUCUCUGUAUUCUAUUGAGCCAUUGUCGAGUCAUAGCGAGAAAAGCAAAUGUGCUGAUGCCACGAUUUCGCCUGUUUCUAAUAAAGUAUACAUGGGUACAUCGUCAUGGUGACUGCUUCUUUGCAAGCGAAGUGUUGAAAAGACUGAUUACAAAAUUGGGCGGAAGGUGUUCAAGAACUUGUAACAACGAAUACAAUUACGUAAUAACUUUUGUUGUUGUCGCAACAAAAACUCUCCUUGUCAAAUAAUCUUGUCCGCAAGGAAUAGUCAUUGUAUAGUGUUAAAGUUCAGUAGCAGAGUGCUUUAAAAAACCGUUCCGAAGGAUUUUAAGAUUAGUUUAUGUUUAGAGCCGUUCCGAAGGAUCUCGGUAUUAGAUUAGUGUUUUGCAGUGUUUCAUCCGACCACGAAGC